rnacentral:rRNA from 1 species
CCCUUAGAUGUUCUGGGCCGCACGCGCGCUACACUGAUGCAUUCAACGAGUCUAAAACCUGCUCUGUUAGGGGUGGGUAAUCUUUUGAAUGUGCAUCGUGAUUGGGAUAGAUGAUUGCAAUUUUUCAUCUUCAACGAGGAAUGCCUAGUAAACGCAAGUCAUCAGCUUGCAUUGAUUACGUCCCUGCCCUUUGUACACACCGCCCGUCGCUCCUACCGAUUGAAUGAUCCGAUGAAUAUCAUGGAUUGAGGAUGCAAGUAGGUUCGCCUAUCUUCAUCUUCGAGAAGUGAAGUAAAUCUUAUCAUUUAGAGGAAGGAGAAGUCGUAACA